UAGUAMCGGCGAGUGAAGCGGGAUGAGCUCAAGCUUAAAAUCUCCGUGCAAUUUUUGCACGGCGAAUUGUAGUCUAUAGAGGCGUGGUCAGUGUGAGCACUUAAGGUAAGUUCCUUGGAAGAGGACAGCAUGGAGGGUGAUACUCCCGUUCAUCCCUGAGUUGCUUAUGCGUACGACCCGUUUUCUUUGAGUCGCGUUGUUUGAGAAUGCAGCGCAAAGUAGGUGGUAAAUUCCAUCUAAAGCUAAAUAUUGGUGCGAGACCGAUAGCAUACAAGUACCGUGAGGGAAAGAUGAAAAGAACUUUGAAAAUAGAGUUAAAGAGUACCUGAAACUGCUGAAAGGGAACCAAAUCGUUUCCAGUGUCUAUAAUCCGUAGUAUAUUCCAUUGGCGAGUGUGUGCGUGCGUGUGCUAUUGUAGUGGCCUUUUGGCUGCGCUCGGCGUGUGUGCUGCGUGUGCUUGCUGGUGCCCUGUGCUAUGGUGGGACGUCAAGGUCAGUUCGUAUGCUGCGGGAAAUGGCUACCGAGGAGGUAGGGCUUACGCUUGCGUUUGUCUGUUAUAUCUUGGUAGACGAGUAGUCGCGGUUGGGACUGAGGUGCCUACAACGUGCUUUUGAGUGGGCUUGGGUCUCUGUGUGCGCCGUGUGCGGAUAGCUUGCUAUGCGUGUGUGGUUGUGUGUGGAU
rnacentral:rRNA from 1 species